ensembl:lncRNA
AAGGGGUUAGAUUUGGGACAACAGGAAACGUACCUUGUGCACAACUCACAAUGUGUAAAACCUCACAGUCGAGACAGACUUCUAGUCAUAACCGAAGAAAAAAAAAUGCAUUGGGUUGAUGCAAGCAGCGCAUUUAUAGUAAAUGCAAUGCGUCAAUCCUUUGGAAUGGUUGGGUGUCUGUCUUCAUUAAGACUGAUUUUGUCAAAGAAAAUACCUGCAUUAAGCCAUUAUACACUGCUUGAGUACUGAACAGCAAGAAAAGGGGAAAAAAAUGUAAAUAAGAACCAAACAAAAACAAAGCUAAACACUCAAAAUGUUUACAUAAAGCGGAAAAGAAAUAUUUAACUUAGAACACCUACAUAUCAAAUACGCAGCGUUGCUUUAUUAAAUCCUGUACAUUACAUAACGACGUGUCACACUUUAUAAAACUGUACAUGUUUGUUUAAUGUCUGAUAGUAGCUAUUUUUUUUUUUUUGUUUGUUUUUCUUUUUUACCCUUAACAUUUGUAUCCUCUUUAUGAAGUUAUCGUUAUAGUUUUGGCACACAAUUGCAUCGCGUCAUGCUCGAGAUCAGUGACGAAGAGUUCUGUGAGAUAUACUGAUGUCUUUAACAUGAACUCCUUAAAUAAAAUUGUUAGUUGUUCACACACUAGGCAACACUUAAUUAACUUUUUUUAUAUAUGUUACAAUCAAGAGGAAAAUGUUAACUGGUAAACAGUUAGUAUCUUGUUGCGGCUGCAAGUCCUUCUGCUCUCACGGGUGUUGAAGUCUCGAUUCUUACUGGGAUAACAAUCAUAAAGUUGGAUUAAGAAAUGCUGAAAUAAGGUUUCCUAGUAAUUUACAGAUGACAUCACCCCCAUUACAUGAGCAAAAGCUGAAAAUGAGAUUGAGAAGGGAUGUUUUAAGAUUUUUGUAACAGAAAAAUCAGCUUUUAAAUUCCUUGAAAUAUUACCUUUUUUUGCAUCCACAAGGAUGUAUGUGCAGGACUUGGCAUUAUCGAAGGAUUAUAUAAAAUGUAGCCCAGUGUUUUGGUUAUUUAUUUUUUUGUUUCUUUCUUUCUUUCUUUUUUUUUUUUUUUUACAAAAAAAGUCUCUCCGUCUUUACUUUUUCAUUCAAGUAGGAACAAAUGAAACCAACAAAUAUUUGUGCUACUCGUCAAGAAAAUGCAAGCUACAUGAUGGAUGUUUUGAAAAGAUAUUAAAGUACAACAAAAGUAUUUCAAGAGGCUAACUGCAAUAACCUGCAUCCUGACAUCAACAAAGUAUUAGUUGUUCCUGAUUAAAGGGAUGAACCCCAUGAAUGGAGCUAAAAUUGAGAUUUCCGCAUCAACGGUGCUUUGAACUGCUCUGCGAAAACCGCCAAAUUCAAAAGCUGAAAUGACCUGAAGACGAUGCAAAAUCUCGGAAAACGAAAAGGAAAAAAACGAAAAGCACGGACUAUACAUCUUUCUACAGAGAGGUUAAUAAUUACUUGACAACAAACACAAGUACAGUAAAAAAUGGACAUGUACAAAACUGUGUUCAAUGGCCUUUUCUUUUGAAUUAUUCAAGUACAUUUGGUACAGUGAGGAGAAAAAGUUUUGAGAAACUGCCUGUGGACGCCUUUAUGUCACCGGUGCUGUCUGGAUGGAUUGAUAUACUGGGAUGAUUAGACUGUCACAGUCGCUUUAAUUCAGAUGGUAGGAGCUCUGUUUGCCUUACACAGUCCACUGACACUAAGGGGUCAAAGGUGUUUAAAGGGACAUUUCACUCCAGAGUGCUCGAUAGCGGGACUGUAGGUUUAUGACGACAUAAUAGGCAGGAGCCGAGCCUGUGCCGAGGCAUUCCUGUGUUUCCAGUGUGGUCGGACACUGACCAGCAGUGAACACUAAGCACCCAGGACCACCAGAGGAGGCUGGCAGACUUUAUCUGUGCAGUAACUGAUUUAACAACAAAAUCCACAAACUGUGUCAUAUCUGCUUGGCAGAUGUCAACCCUGAGGAAAAUGUGCAGAUUAUGGAUUAAGAGCUGAUUACUGAAACCUACUUGAGGAGCUGCUGAUCAGUGGCAUUCAAAGUGUCAUCUUGCAGUCUGGAAACCCAUUGAAACAUCUGGCAGAGAAAUUAUGCUGCACGUGGCGUCGCGAGAGAAAACUACUGCAUUCGAUCGAAAUAAUGGCUGUUUUCUUUCUCGAGAAUGUGACAGAGCUGAUUCAUCACAACUUUAAAGAGCGAUGGCUGCUGUGAGGAACGAGGGGGACAAGGUCUGCCAUUCAUGGACUUCCACCUGCCAGACUGCCUCAAAGGAAAAAAAAAAAGAAAGAAAGAUCCACGCUUUCAAGGCAAAGUUAACAUGCAUAUAGUGUCAAGCACGAGACUGCGGGGCAAGACGAUGAAGCUAGCGCAUGCGAUUCGUGAUGACAGCGGCCUGGAAGGGUCUGACGGGACAGAGCUAAAAGGCUGACCAUAUUUCCAACUGUAGUGCUGAAGCAUUAAAGGAAAAUGUAGGCAUAACACAGACUGGCGGCGCAGCAGCAGCAGUUUUGAUAGCCGUGCCUGUUUCCGUGGAAGGUUUACUGUGCCUUUCGCCUGACCUAUUGAGGCAUGUCUGUCUAGAAACACAAGUCAGCUUUCUCACGGGACAUCUGAGCUUCACAGGCAGGACGACGUGAGGCUGGGCCUGCCCUCUCUUGCCUGUUUACAGCAGAUAGCUGCUUUCUUCCUUCUGUACUCAAUGUUGCAGUGUCACAGCAGAGCCCAGCUCAGGCCUGCCUAACACGGUGGCCUACAUUUGACCCACAAGUCGGGCAACCUUACGCAAUUUAGCAGGCUCGGAGCUUUACCGGUUUUUGACAGGACAGGUAGAGCCAGAUGAGUAAGGAUUCCCUGGGGAAUGGCAUGCGAGCACCCCUCCUGCAGGCUGUGAAUUGCUUCUUUUGGGUGCAGCUGUUUCCUCCAGGGAAGCCACAAAAGGCAGAGCCAGGAGGAGGGAAGUGAGCCGGCAUCUGGCUCUACCUGCAAUACUGCCAACCAGCAGCUCGAGGCCUCAGUGAAAGGUGGCUUACAGGACUGAAUAAAAAGCUUUCAUUCAUUCUUGUCUUUGGUACUUUUUCCGAUGUGCUUGAGAGAUGGCUAAACCUUGUUUCAACUUAAGUCCCUUUGUGUCCGUUUUGAGUGAAAUGUAGGCUGAUGAGGCGGCUUUUUCUUUUUUCUUUCUCUCUCUCUUCCUUUUCAAGCAUGAACAGCUGCUUUGAAACUUGACUGUCUCUGUGGUUGGAACGUUUCUCUAACUUCAUAAAUACAAAGAAAACUCUUAACCCAAUCCUUCUACAGUGCAGAUUCACACAGUUUACACUGCACACAACCAUUUCAUGCAGUACACAUUUAACCCAGUGUAAUGUCAAUAGAUAUUAACAUUGCAAAAAAGAAACAGAUUUGGGUUUUGUUUUCUGUGGCGGGGCCUUUCUGAUUGUUCCAUUAUUACACAGCAAUCACAUUAAAUAUGAAACCCCUCCCCAAACACGAGGGAGAAAACAAAUAUUUGUGUAUGCGUUACACAUGACAGCGGGGCUAGUUUUUUCAAAUAUGAGAGCCGAAAAAAGAAGAAAAAAAGAAAACAAAGAGUGCAAAUUGUGUUGAGUGUAAGGCUGCUAUAUAUGAACUGUAUGUUUCUCUUCACCGUGUUCAUUCUUUCAAGCUAACAAGGCCAUCCCUGAGCAGGGCGUAAAAUUCAACCCCUGUUGAAUUUCAGAAUAAAGUGAUGAAUAUAUU